rnacentral:rRNA from 1 species
UACGUAGGGGGCAAGCGUUGUCCGGAAUCAUUGGGCGUAAAGAGCGUGUAGGCGGCCUGGUAAGUCCGCUGUGAAAGUCCAGGGCUCAACCCUGGAAUGCCGGUGGAAACUGUCAGGCUCGAGUCCGGAAGAGGCGAGUGGAAUUCCUGGUGUAGCAGUGAAAUGCGCAGACAUCAGGAGGAACACCAAUGGCGAAGGCAGCUCGCUGGGACGGUACUGACGCUGAGACGCGAAAGCGUGGGGAGCAAACAGG